AAUUAUCCAGAUAAAAUUUUGAUACAUAUUUUUCUUCAUAAAUAAAUACUUAUUCAUUUGCACAUGUGUUAUGUGUCUUUAGGAAGUUCGGGAUUAUGGUAUGCUUUAUUGGAACCAUGGCAAGAUGAUCCUGUCGUGGGAGAUGAUUAUGAAGAACAAAUCGACAACUUCGUGCUCCGUUCUUAUUUAAAUAUUUACAAUGUAUGCGACGAUCCUGAAAAGGAAAUUCAGCCGGAAUUAAUUUUAAAAUUUCUACUGGAAUCUAUUAAGUAUUACGGGCAGAAUGAGAACAUUCUCAAAGAUGAACUUGGAAUGAAUAGGAAGUGGCGAAGUGUUCUUGAAUCUUUAUCGGAAAAGUUGGACUAGCAGGAACACAGUGGACGAAUUUGAAACCAACGUAAUAAUGCUGAGCUGGCUUUAACCUUCUGAAGCAUGUAUGCCUUAAUAUGCAUGCAAAUUUUUGUAGGUACAUAUGUAUCUUGUGCUCGAUUAACGUACGGCAUGCCAUAAAAUUAUCACCGGACUUAUUUUUAAUUGUUAUAUGAUUAUGUUUACGAUUAAUGUAAGUAAUUUGUGUAAAAAAUUUGUCUGUUCGCAUAAUUCAAUAAAUAUGCACAUGCGUAAGAAAAAUUUACAUACACAUGUAAAUAUGCUUGUAACCCGUUUGACUUGUAUGUACAUACAUCUUUUUCCUUUGAUCCUGGAGUAAGUAUGUAUGGGUAAUGGCGAGUUCAACCCGAGAUCAUUUCAAGCAUUCCAAAUGGCAAGGCAUACGCAUACUGACGCAUAGAACUAUAAAGCAAUAUUGUGGGCCACGCGUUUUUUAUACUUUACUAAAUAUAGACCUUUCCGUAUCACCAGUAGUUUUUGUCACGAAUGUUGUACAAAAAUAAAAUAAAAGUAACAGUCGGGUCAUCAGAACAGGAUAACAUUUAGGCAUCAUCCACGACAAGCAUAUUAACUUGCUUAUCAAGUUCUUUUAUCGUCCAAAAAAUUAGUGUUGAAAAUUGUGGUGGACAGAAAAUGACAGCCUAUGUCAACUGGAUCACAUUUUCUAUUCAAUUGAUUUAUAUUUCUUUCCUUCUGAUUUGCUCGACGCACAAUAUUUUUAGUUUGUCGUCUUUUAUGCCAGUUUCAGACAACGAUCCUCUCAUAUGUACAGUUAUAAUCCCAUUCAAACCUUACGUAUUUAAUAAGUACGGAUACCAAUGCCAAUUAACUCUGGAUAUGGUCUGGGGUUAUGCAAAAUUUUUAGUCCUUUGUAUGGUGAACAAUGCAUUGAUUCUGGUAUUCUAUAAGUUAUUUUACUGGCUUGGGGAUACUUAUUACGGACAAGGUAAAAUCUUUCAUAAUGUGUCAUUUGAGUGGAUAAUUAAUUAGUUACAUGCAUACACGUUAAUGUCAUUUCAAUUAUGUAUCUGUUGUUUCAGAGCAUCUUUUUGAUAGUAGUAUCUUCUUAUUGCCCAAUUCGAAUGCUGAUUUACCAGAAGUAGAUGAAGAGUAUGAACAACACAUCAAUAAUUUUGUGCUGUUUUCUUAUUUUGAAAUUUAUAAAAACUCUGAUGACCCAAACGAAAUAAUUCAAUCGGAACAAGUCUUGCAGUUUUUGAUUAGGGCUACUCAUCAUUAUAUUCAGAAUGAAGAUCUUGUUGAAAAUGAUUUUACAAAGAAGCGAAAGUGGGAUCACAUUCUGCAGUCAUUAUCAGUAAGACUACAAGAGAAAAGCCGGAAGUAGCCGCUACGGCUGUAUUCGAGUAAAAUUCUACAAACCUGGCAUUUCUCGUAUCAAUAUUUGCCUACGGAUUUUAUCUUUAGGGCAUCGGUGUAUAGGGGGUUUCUGGCAAAGGUUGAACCAAAGAUUUGAGCGUGCACUCAAGAGUUGAAAGAAAACUUCAUAAUUUUAAUUUAUUACAUUCUUAGGGAUUUCACAUUUAAAUAGAUACUUGCAUAUUUAUGUUAAUAAUUAAAUAGUUAAGAAAAACGUUUUAGUGGAAAAUAAAUUUGUACUAAUCUUUUGAAAAAAGUGCCCUCAUAAUAACCACAAUUCAAUUUGUACAUAAUGCAUUCCGAACUUGAUAUUGAUCGACCUCUUACCUACUUACAUACAUAAGCGCAUACGUGUAUAACAUGCAAAAGAAAAACUGUUCUAAAUUUAGAGCUGCGUGCAAAAUAUAUGAUGGAAAUGGGAAAUGAGCAAGGUUAUCCGAACUUAAAAUUGCAUCUGUUCUUGUAAUAAAAAAGUUGCUAAAUUUGGUGCUGGCCAUUGCAAGUAAAUUUGAAAAUAAAAUUUGACAUAAAUUUUGUUAAGAAAUAAAAUAUUUCAUCAAAGUGUCUAUUUUAAAGGAGAAUGACAAGGUUAACCAACUUCGUGAUAAGAGUCGUGCACUGUAGCUUUGGUUUUAUUCUCAUGGGAUUCAAUAUGUGGUUACUUUUGCUUCCUAAUUCUAAUUAUUUAAAAUGUGACGUAACGGUGCCGUUUACUUCUUACGUUGUGACUCAGUACAAUUGUGUCAUAACUCCAAUUAAGGUUUGGGAGUAUGUAAAACAUCAACUCAUUUUUGGAGCAAUUUCAUCAUUCUUCUUCAUCUUCUGGGGGGAAGUGUAUUUUUACUGGUGGGGACUUUAUUUCGGCGGUGUAGCUCCUACAAUCUUCGAUGCUGAGCAUGACGACUCGCCACCGCCACACGUUGAAGACGACUAUGAACAAAAUAUUGACAACUUUGUUCUCCGUUCUUAUUUAGAAAUUUACAAGUUCUCUGAUGAUCCAGAGGAACAGUUACAACCGGAACACGUUAUGCACUUUUUGCUCAAAUCAAUGCAUCAUUACGGACAAAAUGAAAACAUUUUAAAAGAUGAGUUGGGCAUGAAGAGAAAGUGGCAUCAUAUUCUGGAAUCAUUGACAACCAGAUUGGAAGAGAAAAGUCGAACGUAAUUAUGUUGUGAGCAAUAAAUAUGAACUGACGAAGGAUUAACAUAUUCGGCUGACAGCGAAAUUAUUACGAAAAAGUUACGUAGUUUGUGAUUUAAGGAACUUACAGAUUUCUAGAUUUAGAAUAUUA